UGGGGAAUAUUGCACAAUGGGCGCAAGCCUGAUGCAGCCAUGCCGCGUGUGUGAAGAAGGCCUUCGGGUUGUAAAGCACUUUCAGCGAGGAGGAAGGUGGUGAGCUUAAUACGCUCAUCAAUUGACGUUACUCGCAGAAGAAGCACCGGCUAACUCCGUGCCAGCAGCCGCGGUAAUACGGAGGGUGCAAGCGUUAAUCGGAAUUACUGGGCGUAAAGCGCACGCAGGCGGUUUGUUAAGUCAGAUGUGAAAUCCCCGGGCUCAACCUGGGAACUGCAUUUGAAACUGGCAAGCUAGAGUCUCGUAGAGGGGGGUAGAAUUCCAGGUGUAGCGGUGAAAUGCGUAGAGAUCUGGAGGAAUACCGGUGGCGAAGGCGGCCCCCUGGACGAAGACUGACGUCGGUGCGAAAAGGCGUGGGGGCAGCAAACAGGAUUAGAUACCCUGGUAGUCCACGCUGUAAACGAUGUCGAUUUUGGAGGUUGUGCCCUUGAGGCGUGGCUUCCGGAGCUAACGCGUUAAAUCGACCGCCUGGGGAGUACGGCCGCAAGGUUAAAACUCAAAUGAAUUGACGGGGUCAU
rnacentral:rRNA from 1 species